rnacentral:rRNA from 1 species
AGCGUUUCGUAUUGGUGGCGAGUGCUGCUCCGGCCGCCUGGCGGCCGCGGGAUUCGAUUUUCCGGUGGUUCUGGCCGAACCCAAUGGCAUUCAAAUGGGAACUAACCCAGGCAGUUCACCUUACAAUUAUGGGGGCUAGGGUUCAUUACCCCUUAUCCAACUGGCCCAAGGAACUGGAAUAACCCCGGAAAAUGGAUGAUAACCCGCAUUAAUGAGGAUUUUCGGGAAGGGUCCAGGACUAAAUCUAUAUGGCCCCUGGAUUGGACUGCGGCCGAUCAGGCUGUUGGUGAGGUAAUGGCCCACCAAACCUGUAACCGGUACGGGCUCUGAGAGGAGGAGCCCGGAGAUGGGCACUGAGACAAGGGCCCAGGCCCUAUGGGGCGCAGCAGGCGCGAAACCUCUGCAAUAGGCGAAAGCCUGACAGGGUUACUCUGAGUGACUUUCGCUAAGAAAGUCUUUUGGCACCUCUAAAAAGGGUGCAGAAUAAGGGGUGGGCAAGUCUGGUGUCAGCCGCCGCGGUAAUACCAGCACCCCGAGUGGUCGGGACGAUUAUUGGGCCUAAAGCAUCCGUAGCCGGUUCUGCAAGUCCCCCGUUAAAUCCAGCUGCUCAACAGAUGGGCCGCGGAGGAUACUACAGGGCUAGGAGGCAGGAGAGGCAAGCGGUACUCAGUGGGUAGGGGUAAAAUCCGUUGAUCCAUUGAAGACCACCAGUGGCGAAGGCGGCUUGCCAGAAUGCGCUCGACGGUGAGGGAUGAAAGCUGGGGGAGCAAACCGGAUUAGAUACCCGGGUAGUCCCAGCCGUAAACGAUGCAGACUCGGUGAUGGGUUGGCUUCGCGCUAACCCAGUGCCGCAGGGAAGCCGUUAAGUCUGCCGCCUGGGUAGUACGGUCGCAAGACUGAAACUUAAAGGAAUUGGCGGGGGAGCACCACAAGGGGUGAAGCCUGCGGUUCAAUUGGACUCAACGCCGGUA